rnacentral:tRNA from 1 species
GUGGCGGCGGGGCGGUCCUUGACCUCGUUGGUGAGGACGACGGACAUCACCGCGGUGCCGACCGAGCCGCCGGCC